rfam:Wallemia sebi CBS 633.66 unplaced genomic scaffold WALSEscaffold_21, whole genome shotgun sequence.
GCUUCAGUGGCUCAAUGGUAGAGUAUUGGACUUCUAGUAUAAUCGAAGACCUUCGGGUUCAAGAUUAGCUGGCCAUCCAAAGGUUGCGGGUUCGAGCCCCGUCUGAAGUA